rnacentral:rRNA from 1 species
CAGCAGCCGCGGUAAGACAGAGGAUGCAAGCGUUAUCCGGAAUGAUUGGGCGUAAAGGGCUCGCAGGCGGUUUCUUAAGUCUGAUGUGAAAGCCCCCGGCUCAACCGGGGAGGGUCAUUGGAAACUGGGAAACUUGAGUGCAGAAGAGGAGAGUGGAAUUCCACGUGUAGCGGUGAAAUGCGUAGAGAUGUGGAGGAACACCAGUGGCGAAGGCGACUCUCUGGUCUGUAACUGACGCUGAGGAGCGAAAGCGUGGGGAGCGAACAGGAUUAGAUACCCCGGUAGUCCCUGUCUCUUAUAC